CUGGCCUUCGCUACAGGAAUUACCAGCUCCUUUAGGACUAGGAUCGAGCACGUCUCGUCCUUCUCUAACCUCCACCAGUCGAUGAGCACUCCUUGACGCGGGCAGACACCAUCUGCGUUGCCGUGGGCCUUGUCUCAGCUUUGAUGGCUCCACCUUCAGGAUGCUGGGCACACAGAGCCCUCAAUAAGUGGUUCCUACCUGAAGGAGUUAUUUUUUCCUAUUAACAAAGGACGGGACAGACUGUUCCAGAGUUUCUCCGGGGGGUGCUUAGGUCUAAACAUGAUCUGCUGAUUCUAACACAUUCCGCCUUCUCUUCCACGGUCACCUCCUUCAGCGAGUGAAACAGAUUGGUGUCAGUAUUCCUUACUCACAUAGUGUUAUGGGCAGAACGGUGUCCCCCCAAAUUCCUGUGGUGAAGCUCUGACUGCCGGGACCUCAGGAUCUGACUGCACUUGGAGGCAGGGCCUUCAAAGAGGUGAUUAAGUUAAAAUGAGGCCGUUAGGGUGGCUCUCAUCUGAGCUGACUGGUGUCUUUAUAAGAAGAGGAAAUUUGGACACAUAAAGAGCAGGGCACAGAGGAAACACCACGUGAGGACACAGGGAAGAGGCAGCCAUCUCAGCCAAAGAGAGAGGUCUCCAAAGAAACCAGACAGGCUGACACUUUGAUCUUGGACUUUUAGAUUCCAGAACGACUGCAAACUUCAUGAGAGCAGAGACCACACCCAUUACGUUGGCUGGCAUACAGGAGAUCUCAAUAAACAUAGGGAGGAUGGAUGAAGGAGUAGAAGGACAGCAGAGGCAAAGAGCAUCAUUCCUCCUGCAAUGAGCACUUAAUCGAUAUCAGGCACUGGGCAUAUUAAAAUGAGAUUCCACACAGAGUCCCCGCUGUCAGGAAAUCCACAGGUCAGCACAUUCUUGGAAAGAAGAGGAAGGAUUUGAGCAGGAGAACUGCUGGAGGGGAGGAAGCCGAGGUGCUCAGGCACAGUACUGCCUGUUUGCUGGAAUUUCCUGCUUUCCGUUUCUCAGACAGUCCCUUUUUGUCCUAUUUUUGUUCCAGAUGACCCUUUAGUUUUCUGGUGGAAGUAAGUGUCUUCCUUGUCACCCUUAGUUACUGAGCCCAGGAGUUGGUCCUCUUUCUACACUCCAGCUUCCCCGUAGAUCAUUUUAUUAUGUCUCCCGGGUUCUUGCGACACCUUUCAGUCUUUUUCUUCUCUGCUCUGGAGAUUUUUUUUUUUAAGUGAGGAAGAUUGGCUCUGAGCUAACAUCUGUGCCAAUCUUCCUCUAGUACGUGGGCUGCCGCCCCAGCGUGGCUUGAUGUGCGGUAUGUAUGUCCACGCCCUGGAUCUGAACCUGCGAACCCAGGGCUACCUAAUUGGAGCGGGCGAACUCAACCACGCGACCAACCCGGCCCCUGGAGUUUUUUUUAUAAUGCACUGGAGCCCACCCAGUUGGCCCCUUCCCCCUAGCCUGGGUCGCUCAUCACCCUGACAAUAACUGUACUUAAAGAUGCAUGAUUUUCAUUUGCAUAUAAAAGAUAAUCCUUUUGGAUCCGGACAAUCCGUUUCUUGUAUUACAACUUUUAAAGUAGUUAAGACCCCUGCAUUUAUAUUUUAACACAGACCUUGCAGGUUCUAUGUUUGGGGGUGGAGUCACCUCAAAUCUCUCCGUUUGCGUUGAGGAUAAAGAAGUGUCACCUAGGAGGUUGGUCUGACAAUUCCAGGUGCUAAUUGAUGUCCUUGGUUAGUUGGGGGUGGUGGAGGUGGUGGGGGUAGUGGGGGCAAUGCACACAGGCCGCACGGCCCCCAAGCUCUGGAGUUGAGCCCACUGGGUCGCCAGGCUGACUGAGAGGCAGGGGAAACAUUCGGGGGUCUUUGAUGGGUCUUGGGAAGGGGGGAGCAGAUAUUCUAAGCUCUGUGUGGGGCUGGUUUUGAAGGCAGGGACGGCCCUGUUCCCCUCUCUGCUCACAUCUCCCACUAGAACGGUCUCAGCUCGGAACUUCCAAGUGUACCACUGUCCACAGAUUGUUUUCCUCCUGUGGACCUCAAUUUCUCUCUGUAAAACAGAGCUGGUUGCACAUUUCCACCAGUGUUUGGAGAGGGGAGGAGGAGAAGGUGUGGGCCCCAGGAGACAGAGGCUCAGCCCACAUAGCUGGUUCCUGUCAGAUGCUUCUGCUUAGGGGGAGCUGUGGCCGUUGGGCCGCCCUCGCUUCGUGCUCUGGGAGCAGAGGAUCCAGGCCCUGUACCCCACCAUGUGCUUCCUCAUUGGGAGCAGUGUGGGAAGGUCCCUGUGUUCGUGGUGGAAGCACAGGUGUCUGGAGGUGGGUACGGAGGUGGGUAUGGAGGUGGGUCUGGAGGUGGGCAUGAAGGUGGGUCUGGAGGUGGGCAUGGAGGUGGGUCUGGAGCUGGGCUUGGAGCUGGGUCUGGAGGUGGGCGUGAAAGUGGGUCUGGAGGUGGGCAUGGAGGUGGGUCUGGAGCUGGGCCUGGAGGUGGGCAUGGAGGUGGGUCUGGAGCUGGGCAUGGAGGUGGGUCUGGAGGUGGGAAUGAAAGUGGGUCUGGAGGUGGGCAUGGAAUUAGGUCUGGAGAUGGGCAUGGAGUUGGGUCUAGAGCUGCGCAUGGAGCUGGGUCUGGAGGUGGGCAUGGAGGUGGGUCUGGAGCUGGGCAUGGAGCUUGGUCUGGAGGUGGGCAUGGAGCUGGGUCUGGAGCUGGGCCUGGAGGUGGGCACGGAGCUGGGUCUGGAGCUGGGCCUGGAGGUGGGCAUGGAGCUGGGUCUGGAGCUGGGCCUGGAGGUGGGCAUGGAGCUGGGCCUGGAGGUGGGCCUGGAGCUGGGUCUGGAGGCAGGCAGAGGAAAUCUGAAUGCGUUUGGGGGAGGAGGAUGGAUGCCCGAGGGCAGAGGAGAGGGAGGGCUUCUCCUGUUCUCACCCUACUUCUCUCUUCUCAACAGUUCUACACCAUCAGGCAACGUUUAAAUACACUCCGGAACAAACGUCGAUCCUGGGACCUCUGCUUGGCUUGCCUGUGCCCGCCCUGUCCGGUCAGCUGCCACAGACCCUGUGCCUCAUCUGAGGGCUCCUUCCUCCUUCCUCGGAAAGCUGUUCAGGUCACGGCAGAGCUUGCCUCCUUAUGAUGCAGUCGCCAAGGCCCUUCCCCGGCUUCCGAGGAAUUUGGGUCUUAUUACGUGUGUAGAUAAUGCCAUCUAUUGCUAUUUAACUUUUUCACGCACAGCUUUCUCUUCAGUUGCAGUGGGUUUCAGCCCUGGCUGCACAGAAUCACCAGGGAAGCUGUAGAAAAUACUAGUACGCCAGGCCCAAGGCCAGGGACUCUGAUUUAAUGGAUCAGGGGUGGGGCUCCGAGUCUUGUGGCUUGUCAGUCUCCCAGGUGACUGUAAGGAGUGAGGCUUGCAGGCUGGGACCAGCAUUCCAGGGGCUUCCUCCAGUCUCUGUGGAUGAAGGGUUGGUCAGAGGGUCCUUUGGAAAGCAAGUGGCCUGGGGCUAAUCGUGGCUCUGGGCAACCCGGGGGAGGGGGUGAAAAGUGUCCAGUGAGGAGGCUGUGAUGGCAUCGUCUACCUGCUCACCCUGUGGAAAACGAGGGGGGCACUUCCAGGAGGGAUGGGACACCCGCACUCCGCCUCUGGGCUCCUCUUGGGGAAGGAGAUCAAGGUCCCCGUGGGCCGUGCUCCGGAGGCCCUCCUCCCUCUCAACGAUCCUCCGUGUGCUCUCUUGGUUUCUCAUGCCUCAGUUUUCUCUCCCCAGGAGGCUUCAAACAAAGGACAGGUUUAGUGCACUGGGCCCAACACAGCCACUUACUCUGGGACCUGGAUGGAGUUUAUUAACUUCUCUGAACUUCAGGUUCCUCAUCUGUCAAAUGGGCUGAAGCUUAACUCCUAAGGCUACCAUGUGGAUUACAUGGAAGGAUUCUGGCCGAGCGCCGAGCCCACGGUGGACGCUCAGUGGAUAGCUGCUAUGGCUGCCAUUUUCACCUGGUCCCACCUCUUGGUAGCUCCAGAACUGGCUACAUGGUUUGGUUAUUGAACCCUCGGAGCCUCAGUUUCCACAUCUUAUACAACAGGGACAACAACAGGUCCUCCACAGAGCUGGAAGGCAUCAGUAGGUAAAGGGCAGAGCAGAGGAGACGCAGAGCUCAGCCCGGCCCUCUGCUCCCCAGCCCUUCCUCCUCUCAACCUCGCUCUCUCCAGCACCUCCCCCCUCUCUCCACCUCUCUCUAAGUCUUCGCUCUCCUGCUCGUGCUCCUCGCUUGACCCUCCUCGAUAGUCUGAGCAUGGGAGGCCCGGGAUGGAGCCUGUGGGACCAAAGAGGAGGUAGAGAGAUGCAGAACAGGGAGAAGGCAAUGCCCUUCAGCGACAGACCUACUUACCUCUGAGUGACAAAGACCCGGCAAUGGACAGCGUUGAGUCCCCUGUUCCCACGCUCCCUUGGUGACAGGAACUGAAGCCGGAAGAGGUAAGGGAAACUAUGUGACUUCUUUCACUCGUUUAUUCAUCCACUGAGCUCAUACUGGUGGAGUAGUUACAACGUGCCAGGCACAGUGCUUGGCGAACAAGACCGUCUCUGCCGUCGGAGAAGGCACAUCCUCCUUGGAGACACACAGGUACCUGAACAUUUCAGUAUAGUAUGUUAAGUGCUAAAAUAGGGUGCUGACCUGGUUUUUGUCCUGGGGGAGGGAGUCAAGACUUCUGAGACUAAAAGAAGUCCAAGCUGAGAUUGGAAAGUAGGAGUUGGCUAGGUGAAGGGGGAAGGACACGCUUUUCCAGGCUCAGUGUGCACAUGCAAAGGCCUGGAGGCCAGCAUGAGCCUGGCUUGUUCCUGUGUCUGCGGUAGAGAAGUGCUGGCCAAGUGUGCACAAUCUCAGUGGAGGCCAAGCCAUGUCUGGAUUCAGAACCCACUUUGAAGGUGGCAAGACAUGGACAUUGGCAUGAUUGAUAAUGGAUCCCUCAACUAGCCAGAGGGAAGGACCAAAAUAUAGGCUCACAGACUGUGACAGGUGUGAUAAAGAAAAAGUCCCUGUGCUACCCCCCAAAAAAUUAGGAAAAGAAAAAAUAAGAAUGGAACAAAAAAAUUAUGGAGAGUGUAAAGGCAAAUGUGGUGCUUGCAAAGAGUAUGUUGGAGACUGGAAACAGAAGGAUGAGAGACAAGGAGACUCAAGACUUGAUCCCGAGGGAUACUUCAGUGUUUCACUGAAGAUGGAUAAAGACUAAUUCGGCCCAGCACUAUCAAUAUGCCAUUAGCAUUUCUCAUUGCCGCCAAGGCUGCCAUGUGCAAUUGUGCAAGUCGAGCACUGCACAAUUCUAGAGACCACCGUUUCCAUCACUGAUAUAGACUCAUCUAUUUAUUACAACAAUUUUUCAGUAGAUGGCGCACAAAGAGGCCUACAGGUGAAUGGCUGUG
rnacentral:lncRNA from 1 species